GUCAGCACCCCGCACUCUCCGUAGCAGGGCUAGGCUACGCCUCGCUGCGCGCCCGUGCCCCAGUUUCAGUUAGCUGACCCGCCUAAGUCUUAACUGACUACGUUUUUAGGGUUAUGACACCAACAAAUGCUUUCCAGUUUGUUGCUCCCUGUCGCGGAUAAUUAAAUCGAAAAACUCGUUAUCGGCAAGCGCGAUUUCUUAAUCGUACUCGACCUAUAGGUUGGCUUGCUCCUAGUCUCCAACACAGAGUAGAAACUACUCUAACUUGGGUAAACAA
rnacentral:sRNA from 1 species